CAGCACAGGUAGCAAUACCGGGUGGCGACCGGCGCACGGGUGAGUAACGCGUAUGCAACUUGCCUAUCAGAGGGGGAUAACCCGGCGAAAGUCGGACUAAUACCGCAUGAAGCAGGGGCCCCGCAUGGGGAUAUUUGCUAAAGAUUCAUCGCUGAUAGAUAGGCAUGCGUUCCAUUAGGCAGUUGGCGGGGUAACGGCCCACCAAACCGACGAUGGAUAGGGGUUCUGAGAGGAAGGUCCCCCACAUUGGUACUGAGACACGGACCAAACUCCUACGGGAGGCAGCAGUGAGGAAUAUUGGUCAAUGGGCGUAAGCCUGAACCAGCCAAGUCGCGUGAGGGAUGAAGGUUCUAUGGAUCGUAAACCUCUUUUAUAAGGGAAUAAAGUGCGGGACGUGUCCCGUUUUGUAUGUACCUUAUGAAUAAGGAUCGGCUAACUCCGUGCCAGCAGCCGCGGUAAUACGGAGGAUCCGAGCGUUAUCCGGAUUUAUUGGGUUUAAAGGGUGCGUAGGCGGCCUUUUAAGUCAGCGGUGAAAGUCUGUGGCUCAACCAUAGAAUUGCCGUUGAAACUGGGGGGCUUGAGUAUGUUUGAGGCAGGCGGAAUGCGUGGUGUAGCGGUGAAAUGCUUAGAUAUCACGCAGAACCCCGAUUGCGAAGGCAGCCUGCCAAGCCAUGACUGACGCUGAUGCACGAAAGCGUGGGGAUCAAACAGGAUUAGAUACCCUGGUAGUCCACGCAGUAAACGAUGAUCACUAGC
rnacentral:rRNA from 1 species